UUCCUGAUGAAGACAGGGUAGCUUCUUUUCAGAGUGCCUUCUUUCCUUUUGGGGGAGUGUGCAGUCACUUCCUAAAAAUCUAGAGUGGAGGGCACAUUCUACUGAUUUCAGUGGGAUCAGCAUUUCUUGGAUGCUAGUCUUGAUGUGAUCCUGUCCUGUGGAUAUAGACUUACAAGUCCAUUCCCUGUCAGUGAUAGAGGCAUGUCUGCUAAGUGAGAAAUGCCAGCGACUCUUCCAUGGCAAUACACUGGGUUGACACUAAACUAGCUGCAGGAUCUUUGGACAGAUUGAAUAACAGGGUCUUGUCCCACAUGGCAAGUGGUUAUUUGUGGAGGUGGGACAGGACAGCCAUUGCUGGAGAUCCUGCUGGUGGGGGAGUGAGUGAGUGGCUACGUGGUACUUGGUUGCUGGCUGGGGCUAAACACAAGACAUCUUUAAUUAUAUCUUUUUUAGAACAAGAGCUUGCAUUUGCUUAUGAAU